CCUACGGGAGGCAGCAGUGAGGAAUAUUGGUCAAUGGGCGCUAGCCUGAACCAGCCAAGUAGCGUGAAGGAUGACUGCCCUCUGGGUUGUAAACUUCUUUUAUAUGGGAAUAAAGUGCAGUAUGUAUACUGCUUUGCAUGUACCUUAUGAACAAGGAUCGGCUAACUCCGUGCCAGCAGCCGCGGUAAUACGGAGGAUCCGAGCGUUAACCGGAUUUAUUGGGUUUAACGGGAGCGUAGGCGGUUUGUUAAGUCAGUUGUGAAAGUUUGCGGCUCAACCGUAAAAUUGCAGUUGAUACUGGCAUCCUUGAGUACAGUAGAGGUAGGCGGAAUUCGUGGUGUAGCGGUGAAAUGCUUAGAGAUCACGAAGAACUCCGAUGGCGAAGGCAGCCUACUAAA
rnacentral:rRNA from 1 species